rnacentral:lncRNA from 1 species
CAAGCAAAUCGAGCUAACCUGGUCUCCAAGUCAUAAGGACCUCACCUAACAGUUAUUGGCCCCGUUCCUUGGUUAAGUCGGACCCACCGUAUAUCCCUGCGGAAAUAAAGCUGUCAUUGGGUCCUCACCUAACAGUUAUUAGAGCCCAACCCCAUCUUUACCCCACAACAUCACAUGUAAUAGAGAGGUCCAAUCCCCCGAUGCAACUAGCCCACUGUAUCCAGCCGAGACUAAUCAACGCCGAAAAGAUCUUAGCAGCUCUACUACGGUGGAAGGCCAAUUGACUUAAUAUUGGGUAAUCAAUUCUUAGUGAUUCCAACCUUAAGCUUUCAUAGAAGGUAAUCGAUCAAUUGGCCAGAUAAGCAGGUAGGAGGCACCUCUUACUCAGAGAGUAAGGUCCUAAUUAAGUAACCACCUUUAAGCUUUCCUAGACACCAAUUAGAUCAAUUAUCCAAAUAGGCCUAGCUCAAUGUAUCGUUUACUCUCGAUUGAUUUAGGGAGGUUUU